UUAUGUUUCCUGCAACAGAAGAUGGUAGAGUCAUUCACUUAUGAGGAAAAACUACAUCUGUGAUUUCCAGCUGAGCCAAACAGACAAUGGAGCCUAUUGACACAGAAGGUUCAACAGCUCAGCAGAAAGAAGACCAAAGUUUUUGACUGGGACAAUACACACAUAUACACAUACAGGAAAAGCAAGAUGGUACAGUGGACAAAGUUUCAGGGUUCCUGUUGAGCUGGGGUUCCAACUCUGAAAAGCUGAACUAGUCAUUUAACCUCAUCAAGUCCGUCUCCUCGUCUGUAAAAUGAGAGUAAUAGUAGUAUCCUUUUAUGAUCCGUAGGAUUGAAAUAUUCUUAUAAUAAAUGUCAAAAUGCUUUCCCAAUUAUAAAGUGCUAAAAGAUAAAGAUACUAUUAUUAUUAUAAUACCGUCACUGCCAUAUAUGAAUUUAUCUAAGACAAUAAAGAUUCAUUUACUGUUAAUACCAGCAUUUGCACACACACACACACACACAUAUACACACACGUGAGUAUUGUUAAAUAUACCGUAAGGUUUCCAUUUUUGGCUAAAGUAUUCAAUCUUUUUUACAAAUAUUCUUUCUCUCCUCACUUUAGAAGACAGGAGGACAAGAGGAACUUUAAAAAUAGACUUCCUCCUCAUGCUUCUGGUGUCUUUUUGGCAUCGAACAGACAUCUGGAAACUCCAAACCUUCCAGAAUCUUGUCUUCUCCCUUGGGAAUUCAUGAUUGGACUCUUGACCUUUGACCUUCUCCAUACUGCUCUCAUGGAGAGCCCUCAUCUGAUGGUCCUGGUGCAAGAGGGGAGAGAUAUUUAUAGAAGAUCAAGUUAUUGUUCAGGCUUGUGUCUCUAUGUUUAAACACUGGAUUUCUGCCUCCAAAUUAGUAGUUUACUAUGUUUUCUUAAGUGCUGGAAAUUUAUGGAGUUAUCAUAGUUGAAUUCUUGUUCCUAAAACAAAAACAAAAGAAAAUACCACUUACUGAUUUAUUUCUAUUUUUAUGUCUUUGGAUGGCUUGUAUUGCCUUGUAGUAGCAAGCAAGAGUGUUACAAAAUUGUUUUCCCCAGAAUCUGAUUCUUUUUGGAGGGGUACUCCAUGUAUAUUCUUCAGUAAUGAUGCUGUCCUCACACCCAAGAAAUCACUAAUAGAAAGGGUGGUGUUUACGUUGUUAAGCUAUUAGCCAUUUCUUUGACUUUUUAAUAUUUUGUCUGACAAUUGAGAUAAUUAGCAAAAUGUGAAAUCUUUAUGUGUGCUGAUGAUUACCUAGGAGACUUAGAAAAUAUUUCAAAUCAUUUAAAACCAGGAAGAACUGUGGAGGCGAUGGGGUUGCUGAAGCUAAUUCACAGUAUCAUAAAAGCUCAAGUUAAAAGGCACUAUGGCCCCAUGGAGAAGAAUUCCAAAUAAUUUAUGUAGAUAUUCUACCCUCCCCCUCCUCCAAGGAGAGGGAGCAUAACACCCAUUCCUUAGGUGUGAGCUGCACAUAGUGACUUCCUUGCAAAGUGUACAGCAUGGAAAUGGAGGGUGGAAAGGGGAAGGAAGAGAAACUUUAAAGUGGAGAAACCUGACAACUACUGCCUCAGCCAAGUGAUCAAGGCCAACGUUGACUGUCAUAAAUCAUAUUGACAGUGUAUAUCCUUGAAAUGAUGUGAUGAAGAUGGCGCCUUACCUCUGUAGUCUUCCUCUUAAAAUCCCAUAGCCCCAGUCUUAUCUUGAGAAAAACCACACACAAAUUCCAAUAGUGGGGCAUCCUACAAAAUACCUGACCAGUACUCCUCGAAACUGUCGAGAUCAUCAAAAACAAGGCAUAUCUGAGAAACUGCCACAGCAAAGAGGAGCCUACAGGGACAGGACAACUAUAUGGGGGGUCCUGGACGGUAUUCUGGAACAGAAAAAGGGCAUUAGGUAAAAACUAAGGAAAUCUAAAUGGACCAUGAACUUUAGUUAUUAAUAAUGGUUAUUAAUAUUAAUAAUUGGUUCAUUAACUGUAACAAAUGUAUCAUACUAAUGUAAGAUGUUGAUGGAGGAACUGGAUGUGGGGCAUAUGGGAACUCUCUAUGUUAUCUUUCAAUUACUCUGUAAACCUAAAAUUACUCUAAAAAUAAAGUGUAUUUUAUCAAAAAAAAAAAGGCA
rnacentral:lncRNA from 1 species